rnacentral:rRNA from 1 species
AGCAGCCGCGGUAAUUCCAGCUCCAAUAGCGUAUAUUAAAGUUGUUGCAGUUAAAAAGCUCGUAGUUGAAUUUCGGGGUUAGUAGGUUGGUCGUGCCACUGGUACGUACUGGUCUCACUGACUCCUCCUUCCUGAUGAACUGUAAUGCCAUUAAUUUGGUGUUGCGGGGAAACUGGACUGUUACUUUGAAAAAAUUAGAGUGUUUAAAGCAAGCUAACGCUUGAAUACAUUAGCAUGGAAUAAUGAAAUAGGACGUUCGAUCCUAUUUUGUUGGUUUCUAGGAUUGACGUAAUGAUUAAUAGGGAUAGUUGGGGGCAUUAGUAUUCAAUUGUCAGAGGUGAAAUUCUUGGAUUUAUUGAAGACUAACUACUGCGAAAGCAUUUGCCAAGGAUGUUUUCAUUAAUCAAGAACGAAAGUUAGGGAUCGAAGACGAUCAGAUACCGUCGUAGUCUUAACCAUAAACUAUGCCGACUAGGGAUCGGAUGAUGUUAAUUUUUAAUGUACUCAUUCGGCGCCUUAC